UUUAAGCAUAUCACUCAGUGGAGGAUGAGAAAGUAACAACGAUUGCUACAGUAAUGGCGAAUGAAGUGGCAAAGGCUCCCCCUGACUGUCUUUGAGGGGACAGUGGUGUGAUGUUACGUGGUCCGGCUUUGACUCAUCAGACUGGUGGUGCGAAUAUUGAACGGAAUGGGUAGUUCMCUGGAGGAUGCGACAACUGGCAGUGCAUGUUGAAGUCGCCUGGAAUGGCGUGCGGUACAGGGUGAUAGCCCCGUUCGCUAACUUACAAUGCCUGUCGGGAGUCAACUCCGAAGGAGGCCUGUCCGAAUCCCGGAGUAUGAUUGUUUGGGACUGCAGUGUGAAUGGCGAUGUGUAUCCAUCGGAAGGCUGAAUAUCGACAUGGAACCGACAGUGGACAAGUAGAGUGAUCGAAUGGUGAAAAGUACUCUUGCGGAGAGGUUUCAAAGUUCCUGAAAGUCSCAACAGGCUCUGUAGUGAUUGGCACCCAGUUCCCUUCUUAAUGGCUUUCUAUCGCAGUCCAAAGUUUCCCUCUCAGAACAAGUCGAGCAUUGAUGACACAUAUUCUGAGUUGAUUCAUGGCAUUGUUCCCGAGAUAUUCAAGUGGUGCGUCAAGAGAUCCUGGGUCAGGCCUGUCUCGUGCUGCAGAGCUGCCUUUACUGGUUUCAGAUCAACAGUAAUGGUAACGAAUCAAUCGCAGCACUUGAUAGUGGCAUGCUGCCCAUCUGGGCCCGGUGAUGUUGAGAAUCGGCAGAGUGAAAACCCUGAUACACCAUAAACAAAUGUCUGGUUUGUGCGGUGUCUUUGCUUGCAUUGGCGCCACGCAACACUGGGCUGUCACUGUGGUCCAUGGUGUGACUUCCCAGAGUGCAACGUCGUUGUGAAUAAUUGACUGAACUGGCUCUUUGUGUCUCACGAGGAUGCCGUGUAUGUCACACUCUGGGUGAGUUGUCCUGUGGUGCGGGAUUACAUUCGUGGCGUUGUUACUGUCGCUCCCAGCAAUUGGAUGUUGGGAUCGAGCAGCGGGAAGUGGAUGUGUCAUGGCUGCAUGGUUGGGGCUGCACCAUUUGAUGGUGGUCCCGUCCUGUUUGCUGUUUCACCCGGUUCAGCUGUUGUGGAGUGGGGCAACCGGACUUGACAAGGCAGUGUUCACUCCCUGCCCGUCUUGAAACACGGAUCAAGGAGUCUAUGGAAUGCGCAGGUGUCCCAGUGUGUUUGAACAAGCUGGAAUUGGAAUGCAGUGAAGCUACUACAUCAGAGUGCAAAGUGAAGGCGAACGGACCAAUGGCGAAUGUCAAAGCCCCUUGGUGCAGGGCUUGGAGCGAAAGUGUUUCAAUGCGAUGAUACAUGUGGCACUGGCUGUUUGUGGAGCCAGGGUGUGCGUUGCACAGAGGUGUGCUGAUUCCUGUCACCUCGUGCGAGUUACUUGAACGCCAUCCUCCGUUCGCUACUAUGUGUACAAGGUGACCCUUAUUGCGCGGGGCCACCAGUCCCAAAUCCUAUGGACAGGGUUCUGAGUGAGAGCGUCCUGCCAUAGGACCCGAAAGAUGGUGAACUAUACCUGGUUACGAUGAAGCUGUGGGAAACUGCUGUGGAGGUCGGACACUGUCCUGACGUGCAAUUCGAGUUGUUGGAAUGAGGCAUGGGGGUGAAAGGCCAAUCGAACCGUCUAGUAGCUGGUUUCAUCCGAAGUUUCCCUCAGGAUAGCCGAGGCUGAGAGUGUGUCCGAUCCUAUUUGCUACGACAAAGGUUGUGUCCGGUAAAGCAACGCAUGAGAGGUUCUCCGGGGAAAUGUCAUUCCUCGACCUAUUCUCGAACUGUGAAUGGGCACGUCGGCCAUAUACGCUUCUUCAAUUGAUGGUUAUUGCUACUACAUCCUGAGCGUGUUCCUUGGUGCAUGGGAAAGUGAGAAGUCCUGCCAUUUAUCCACACGAGAACUGGUCGUGUGCGUCUUCCCAGAUGAUCGAGAGCUUGGGACUUGGCCCUUGCUAUAUGGAACAGAGUGCGGUCUUAUGUGGGCCAUUACUGGUAAGCAGUGCUGGCGAUGCGGGAUGAUCCGAAAGUGUGCUUACAGAGUCCGAGUGCUGGUUCAAGCCCAGAUCCCACAAAGGAUGUUGCUUACUACUGAUAGCAGGACGGUGGCCAUGAAAGUUGGAAUCCGCUGAGGAAUGUGUAACAACCCACCUGCCGAAGUGAACAGCUCCGAAAAUGGAUGACGCCGAAGCCAGCGUACCGUUAUCGCCUGACAGCACACCGUCGUCACGGUUGCAGGGCAGGUAGCGAUGCGUAGGCUGACACAGGAGCCUGUGGUGCCGAUUCUGGGGCAACCCGAAUCGGAGUGCCUUCUGGUGCAGAUCUUGGUUGCAGUAGCGAGUACUCUCUCAGGUUGCGUGUCGCAAUCUGCUUCGAAAUGUGUGCUUGGUGGGACCGGCAUGCAGACGGACUGAGGACUGGAGUGGAGCAGGUUUCCGUGCGAACAUCCAUUGAACGCGGGUCAGUCGAUUGCGAGCCAAGUGGUAACGCUCACCGCAUGACCAAAGCUACUAUGCAGUCAUGGAACAUGCUGUAAUUUCGGUUACAGUGCAACGUAUUCGACUGCUGGGAUUGGCGAACAGGCAGAAGCUUCCAACAUUCCUUCGUAACUGGGUCAGGCCACGUUCUGCAGUGUUAUAUGGUGAUGGCAACACCAUCCUGAGGCGCGAUGCUGGGCAUGGGUACGUGGGCCCCCCAGAGAGUUAUCUUCUCCUUCUGACGCAAGAAAGUGAGCUUGCAGUUGAUGCUCGUGCUAGAUGGCGACAUUGUGAGCUACUUGGCAAGGCAGCACAGUCUGGGUGCUGGUGGUGUGAUGCGAUCCAAUCUCUCCAGAAGCAUACAUUUGAUGGUGGCAAGUAUGCAGUGCGAAGUGUCAUGGCUCCUACUGACUUCACGGAAUGCCCAGCGGAAAGAGAUGUCCUGAUACCUUGUUGUCGUACCGAAUCACCGCAGCUGGUCUCCUCGGUUGAAUGCCGCUGGUCAACGUUACAAAUGCAGCUAAGGGAAGUCGGCAAACUGGCUGCGUACCUUCGGAAGAUGCGGUGGCUCCAAAUGUCAGGCCAGUUGGUGAAUCCGUCUACAGGGUGCUUGCUACAACCAGAUGUCCUAGAGAGAUGGGCACUGGCUGUUUGUGUUUACGUCAAAGCACAUUGACCCUGGUGUGCCCCAGGUUGCACCCUGUAGAUGGAAACUGGGAUGUCAUCAUUCCUUUCCAACGGCGAGUGAAGUGGCUUAUUCGGAACUGUUGCUGUGCGGGGGAAUCUGACUGUUUAAUUGAAACACAGCUUUGUGAGGGGACCAGCUGGCUGGUCUCACGAGGUGAUUUCUGCCCAGUGCUCUGAUUGUCAACGCGAAGAGAUUCUGCAAAGCGCGGGUUAACGGCGGGAGUAACUAUGACUCUCUUAAGGUAGCCAAAUGCCUCGUCAACCAAUUAUUGACGCGCAUGAAUGGAUCAACGAGAUUCCUGCUGUCCCUAGCUACUGUCCGGUGAACCAACAGCCAAGGGAACGGGCUUGGAUGCGUCAGUGGGGAAAGAAGAGCCUGUUGAGA
rnacentral:rRNA from 1 species